AAUACCUCAUAAAGUCUCAAUUUAUCUCACCACCGCCGCUGCAACCCAACCCAACUCAUCUCUAUCUCACCAAUUUUAGGCAACGCAAUAUUUUUUUUACUCGCUCUUUAUCUUAUUGCUUUUAUUAGAUUUAUACAUAUUUUUAUAUCUUUCUUUCCUUGAUCUGGUAUUUAAGUGUAUGCAUACAUGAUUUCAAUUAAUUUUAUUCUAAUUUGAUUCUUUUCCCUCACAGACUCACAGUUACUAAGGUAAUUUUUGUAUAUCUAGGGUUGGGGUUCCCCUUCAUCAUAUUUUGAGAAAAUCAAAUGGUGCUUCACCCGCUAGCGCUCAACAAGCUCCUCUUCUUUGGUGACAGCGCUAAGUUUUGUUUUUUUCCCUCAGUUCUAAGUCAUCAUUUUAUAUGUAAUAACAAAUAUGUGUGCAAUGGUGCUAGAGACCUUUUAUCGGUCUAAUGGAUAGUUGGUCUAUAAAAUCCCAUGACUGCGUGAUGAUUUCAUAGUUAGAAUUUUUAGUAUCGUUAUUGUGCUUGAAAUGUGAUCUAUUUGCUGGUAUAUCUUGCACUCUAAUGUGACUUGGUGUGAAAAUUUUUAAUAGACACUUUGUUAGUCAGAUUCUUUUGUAGCCAAAUAUUUUGCUUUCAGUCUGUUAUUUUUUCCAAUUCAGUCAAUGACCAAUUCCAUGUGCUAUAAUUCGUGCUUUUUUUUUCUAGUUAACCUAAAAUGUUGGGUACAAUUUGUUUGAUUUUCACUUUGGUGGUUCCGCAGAAUUCCUUUUCUUUUUCUUGUUGGAUUCUCAAAAUUUAUAAACCCUUCCUAAGUUGAUGUUGAAGGGUGAGAGUUUGUUAUGAGUAUGCAUUAAGCUUGUGAAUUUUCAAAAAAGUUCAACUUUCCAUGGGCUAACACUUGAACUCAAUUUUGAUUUUGCCGUGAAAUCGACUUGGUCUUCCACAAGUUGUAAAAAAAGACCAGUAUCUAACUUCAAGAGAAUUUUCUUUUAAUGAAACUAAUACAAUUACAAAUGAGAGAUGUUUAUGUGGCAUAAGGGUAUAUGGUAGGUGGUUAAAAUCUAAUCUCAUAUUCUGCUUUAUAGGUAGAUAUGUGAGUUUACACAUCAAAGAAUAUAUAGAGAUAAAUAUAUCAGUUGUUCACACAUUAAAGAAUAUUAAAGCCCGAUGAUACAAGUGAUUGCAAAGCCUUCUUGAAUUUGUAUAUUUUUGCACUAAAUAUUUUUUACUGAAUUAAUAUGUAUCUCCUGUGAGAUAUUUUCUCGUACUUAUCAAAAGAGUUUCUUCUAUGGAAAAAUAUUGUACUCGUUUAGUAGAACUUUAUUAGUGUACUCUCCAAGCCACCUUAACUAGGAGGAGACACUGCACAAGGUUGUGAACUAUGACAAUCCGUUUAAAGUUGCAUGUUUGGUUUAAUUUUGCAGAGUUUUUUAUGUCGCUUGAAGAAACUACAAGAAUAUUAAGAUCUCGAGAGAUGACAACGGAUUAAGAGUAUUUUAUUUCUCUAGAAUUUGUCAUUAACCUUUGCAUCAGAGAGUUAAAUUUGAGACAACUUGAUUAAAGAGUCCUCUCGAGUUGUCUUUUUUAUUUCAUCAAGUUCAACAUAAGUAGACACUUUCAUUCAUUAAGGUCUCUACUUAUUUCAAGAGUUCAUCUUUCUCAAAUAAUUUCCUUUACAAAUCCUCCACUAGCUCACUCAAACUCUUAAAACUUUAGGGCUACCUUGCUCAUCUAGAUUAAUUACCAAUUUCUUGCUGUCAAAAUACUACAAUAGUGUGUCUUUAACUUUCUAGAAUUUAGAGUUUGUACUUUUAAAUCAUUUGACUUUGAAAAUUUUGUAAACACUGGAGUUGAAAAUUAUGUGAGGUAAUCCUUCUCUGUGAUAUACUUGUAUCCCCACUCAUAGCCAACCAUCCCAUUGCAUGUGUCUUUCAAUCAAAGAAGCUUCUUCAAUAGAAUGACUUGUGGCUAGUGGCAUAAUACACUGAUAUAAUCAAUAGAAAGAUAUUUCAUUAUAGUGCCAUUGCUUUUCCUUAGGUGUUUAAAGAAGUGUAGAUUAGUUUACUUAUUCUGAAACUAAGUACAUGUCAGCUUCAAAUGUUCACUAGAUCAGAGGGUGUAACGUGUUCAUACAAUACGGUUACAAUCUACAAACUAUGGUAAUAAUAACCUCAAGGUAGUUUUUGAAGCAAAUUGGAAUCAAUUUGAAGUGGCUAAUUUCUGGUUGGCAACUAUAAUUAAUCAUAGCACUUUAUUUGAUACCACCAUUGAAGGCAAAGAUAUAGGAAUACAUAAUGAUCAGAUCUUUAUGAAGUAAUUUUUGUAAUUUUCCUUCUUGCAGCUUGAUAAGAGCGCUUCGGUUGGAGAACAAAAUAUGGAGAACCGAUUAAUUUGCAUAGAAAUAUUUUGAUGGUUUAAGAAAGCGGUAUCAAAGAGCCUUUCCUCAAAUCCAAGAGCAGAGUCAACACCUCCCAAAUCGUUAUUGUUGGAGCCAAUGAUUACCCCAUUAAAAGUCUCGACUACGAGUAUGAAUACUUUUUUUUUUCUGUUUCUGUGCUAUUUGGUUGGCUAGUUGCUUGGUUGAACCAAUAACUAUUGUCCUUGGAUGUGGGAUGUAGUAUCUUGCCCAUGACUUUCAAUAUCCACCUCUAGCCUAUUUUUCUUUAGCUAGUGUGUGUAUAAAAUUGCAUGUUCCAAUUUAGCUGAAAGACAAUACUUGAACUCCCAAGUGUGUUGUUUGGUUACUAUCAUGUGAUUGAUGUAUCAUCCCUGUUGUUACAUUAAAAGAGGUAUCAAACUUAGUGUACCAAGUUUAUGUUGCAUUCUUAAAGUCAUAUAGGAACUUUAUGAAGUUUGUAAGCAUAAUUAAGAUAAAUUGAUUACACAAAAUCUUGAGGCUUCGCAUUUUUCUAUUAAGUGCUAUAGAAGGUGACUGCUAGAACAUGAAGCAUUUAUUUGACUAGACCCCAAAAAGUACUUAUCUGGAUAAAUAAAUAAAGAAAAAUAUUGAUAUAUAUUUUGUGCAGGUGCUCAACUACAUCAUGAAUUUACAUUGACAGUCUCACUGUUUCAUAGCCAUAUGUAUAUACUUGUAACCAUACGAGUUCUCUUAUAAAGAAUGGACAUUAUAGUAUCUCAAAGAUUUAGGAUUGAUUAAAGACAAAAGGGAAUGCCCUUUGUUGAGUAUAACAAAAUGUCUUCAUGUUUGGAUUGACAUUUGGCCUUCGUAUCUAUAAUCUUUUCGAGUUUAGUUGUGUUGCGAUGGUUAGUAGGAAAGGAAUAACAUUUCUUGUACACUUGAUUUUGAUUGGCUUUAGUAGUAGCAGUUUCUUGAUUAUUAAUCAACAUCAAAUGUGGUUGUUUAUUUGAUAUUCAUUUUAUUUUAUCAUUCCAGGUCAUACAUUGUGAUGUUCAAAAACUUGGCAUGUGACUGUCACUAUGAUCAAGAGUUGGAGCAUCUUUCUUAAGUCAUCUGUUGUCUAAUUUGUAGCUACUUGAUAAAAUAAUUUGUCAAACGCAAAGCGAUAGUAGCAAUUAGAUUCAAAUAGUUUAGCAUUCUUUUAUGUAGUUGACAGAUUAAAUUAUGAAUUAGAAGUUUUGUUUGUUGCAGAUUUAAUGAGUAUUAUGCUUUUU
rnacentral:lncRNA from 1 species